rnacentral:rRNA from 1 species
AUUGAACGCUGGCGGCAGGCCUAACACAUGCAAGUCGAGCGAGCGGCGGACGGGUGAGUAAUGUAUGGGAAACUGCCUGCUGGAGGGGGAUAACUACUGGAAACGGUAGCUAAUACCGCAUACCAUCAGAUGAACCCAUAUGGGAUUAGCUUGUAGGUAAGGUAACGGCUUACCGAGGCGACGAUCCCUAGCUGGUCUGAGAGGAUGAUCAGCCAAACUGGGACUGAGACACGGCCCAGAGUCCUACGGGAGGCAGGAGUGGGGAAUAGUGCACAAUGGGCGCAAGCCUGAUACAGCCAGGCCGCGUGGAUGAAGAAGGCCUUCGGGUUGUAAAGUACUUUCAGUGGGGAGGCGUUACCGGCAGAAGAAGCACCGGCUAACUCCGGGCCAGCAGCCGCGGUAAUAC